CUGGAUGAUAGGCUGAUUAGCACAUGCAAGUCCGAGCGGUAACAGGGUGCUUGCGCCGCUUACGAGUGGCGAACGGGUGAGUAACGCACCGGAAUGUACCGUGUAAUGGGGGAUAGCUCGGCGAAAGCCGGAUUAAUACCGCAUACGCCCUGAGGGGGAAAGUGGGGGACCGUAAGGCCUCAAGUUAUACGAGCAGCCUAUGUCUGAUUACCUAGUUGGUGGGGUAAAGGCUCACCAAGGCGACGAUCAGUAGCGGGUCUGAGAGGAUGAUCCGCCACACUGGGACUGAGACACGGCCCAGACUCCUACGGGAGGCAGCAGUGGGGAAUUUUGGACAAUGGGCGCAAGCCUGAUCCAGCCAUGCCGCGUGUCUGAAGAAGGCCUUCGGGUUGUAAAGGACUUUUGUUCGGGAGCAAAUCCUAGUGGUUAAUACCUACUGGGGAUGAGAGUACCGGAUGAAUAAGCACCGGCUAACUACGUGCCAGCAGCCGCGGUAAUACGUAGGGUGCAAGCGUUAGUCGGAAUUACUGGGCGUAAAUCGUGCGCAUGCGGUUGUGCAAGUCUGAUGUGAAAGCCUGAGGCUUAACCUGGGAGCUGCAUUGGAGACUGCACGACUAGAGUGCGUCACAUGGGGGUAGAAUUCCACGUGUAACAUUGAAGUGCGUAGAUAUGCUGAGGAAUACCGAUGGCGAACGCAGCCCCCUGAGAUGACACUGACGCUCAUGCACGACAGCGUGGUGAGCAAACAGGAUUAGAUACCCUGGUAGUCCACGCCCUAAACGAUGUCAACUAGCUGUUGGGGGUUUGAAUCCUUGGUAGCGAAGCUCACGCGAGAAGUUGACCGCCUGUGGAGUACGGCCGCAAGGUUAAGACUCACAGGAAUUGACGGGGACCCGCACAAGCGGUGGAUGAUGUGGAUUAAUUCGAUGCAACGCGAAAAACCUUACCUGGUCUUGACAUGUAACGAAUCCUUGAGAGAUUGAGGAGUGCCCGAAAGGGAGCGUUAACACAGGUGCUGCAUGGCUGUUGUCAGCUCGUGUCGUGAGAUGUUGGGUUAAGUCCCGCAACGAGCGCAACCCUUGCCUUUAGUUGCCAUCAUUAAGUUGGGCACUCUAAUGGGACCGCCGGUGACAAACCGGAGGAAGGUGGGGAUGACGUCAAGUCCUCAUGGCCCUUAUGACCAGGGCUUCACACGUCAUACAAUGGUCGGUACAGAGGGUCGCGAAGCCGCGAGGUGGAGCCAAUCUCAUAAAACCGAUCGUAGUCCGGAUCGCACUCUGCAACUCGAGUGCGUGAAGUGGGAAUCGCUUGUAAUCGCAGAUCAGCAUGCUGCGGUGAAUACGUUCCCGGGUCUUGUACACACCGCCCGUCACCCCAUGGGAGUGAGUUUCACCAGAAGUGGGUAGGCUAACCGUAAGGAGGCCGCCUGCCUCUUGUGUCGUCCUCCCUGGA
rnacentral:rRNA from 1 species